rnacentral:rRNA from 1 species
AUUGCAGGCUGCAACUCGCCUGCAUGAAGUUGGAAUUGCUAGUAAUCGCGAAUCAGAAUGUCGCGGUGAAUACGUUCCCGGGCCUUGUACACACCGCCCGUCACACCAUGAGAGUCGAUAACACCCGAAGCCUGUGAGCUAACCUUAGGGGGGACGCAGUCGAAGGUGGGAUUGAUAAUUAGGGUGAAGUCGUAACAAGGUAUC